CCAUUAAUUUUGGGAGCAUUAUUUUUUUCCAUGUCUCUUGUUCGGACACUAACAUAAAUCCGGAAUUUAAUUAAUCAUCUCGGGAUUUAAUUAGCAAGGUCUCUCAUGGAAUCAAUUACUUGGUCGUUUAACUAUGACGAAUCCAAGAUUUAAUUUAGCAUCCAACCAUAGGCCCAAACUAAUUAAAUUUCAACCCAACACAAGGCAUCACAACUCUUUUCCCUAAUUAUUUUCAGCCCAUUUACAGAAAUUAUUCGGGCCAAAAAUAAAGAAAAAGAAAUGGCCCAAUCAAACAAAAGACCAAACCCAACUUUAUACACCCUCAACCUCAAUUCUAUCUGUCUCUCUCAUCUCUCAUUUUCAAUUUCUCAAAUUGGGGAAGAAAUCCCUAGUUCCAUCUCCCUCCUUCCUCUCGGCGAAAUGGCCGCUCCACCUAGUCGCCGGAGCGUCGUCGGCUCCAGCUCCUCGGCGUCACGGAGUCGCCGGCGGCUCAUGCCAGAACCCUCCGUCUCCGUCCAGCUCUCUCUUUCUCGGCUGAACAACGCCUCUUCCAUCUCUCGUCUUUUCCGGCGAAUUCACGCUCGGAGCGACCCCUUUCGCGGUCGACCGACGUUGUUCGUUGCUCUCCCAGGCAGCCCCUUCAGCUGCUCAAACCUCCCCCACUCUCUCUCUCUCGGCUGCAUCACUGGGCAGCCGCCACUGUCACCAGCUAUGGACCGGCGACGAGCCGCGGUCACCAGCAUCUUCGCAGAGUCGCCUUCGACGCUGACUCUGGCGUGAGACACGGCGCCGGACUUCGUCCUUCGGUGAUCGAAGUCAGCAGCCAUCGUCUACCCGCGCCGCUGCAACCUGCGGCUCAUCCGGCCGCCCCUUCUCCUCAUAGCUAAGUCUCGUAUUUAAGUUCUUAGUUUACAUCUUAGUCUAGAUUUCCAGUUUUGAGCAUGUCGGAGCUUUGUGAAGUUGGAGAUCUUGGCUAUUGUGUUUUAAAGUCGUGAUUUUGUAGAAAGUUUAGUUCACUGGAAAGAGUCCUGAUUUGAAAAACAUGAAGGUUGCUAACUUGCAUAAUUUAAGCAUAAUGUUUCUUUGUGAGAAUUGGUAGACUGCCUUGUACAAAAGAUUUUAGGAGUAAGAUUCCUAGAGUGAAGAAGCUGUUAAGACCUAUAUUUGUGAUUGAAAUUAUAAGUUUCUAUCUGUGAAAGAAGUAGCAGUAAAGGGUGGCUGCUGACAUGAUUCAAGCUUAGUAUGCUGUGCCUACUUGAUUCUCAAGUGUUCAUGCUUUCAUGUUUUUAUCAUAUGGAGGAAGGAGUGUUACCUCUUGAAAGUAGCUACUGCUCUUGUGCCUCUGCUCCUAGAACUCAAACUCUCUUAACUCUCAAAACUCACUAUUGCUGUAGGAAAAACUAGAGUAUGUGGGAGAGUGUUCAAAGGUGGUAUGAAGGGGUUUUUAUAGACAAACUUUGGUGUACCUGGGUGAAUUAAUGGGGCUGCCAAGACUCUUUGGUUUCAUGUUGCAGAUGAAUCCUCCUUUUGAAAAUCUUCACUAAGCUUUUAAUUAAUACAUUCGUUUCUUUCUAGAAGCACAAGUACUCCCUUCAUAAAAUCACUUGUUUGCUUAUUGCAGGGGUGGUAUUGUAGGGAAAAGUAGUCUGUAGGUGCUGUUUUGAGGAGUGGGUAUUGCAGGCAUUGACUUGCCUUCUUGGGAGUGAAAAGUGACUUGGCCGCCACGUUGCUGCCCGAGACAUGGGCUCGCUGCCCUGGGCCUGACGGGCUGAUCGGACACCUGUCUUGGAGGGGUGCGAUUCGGGCUUGGGGAGAAGAGGCCCAAAGUGCAAGCUAUAUAGAAUUUUAAUUUCUUAAGCUUUUUGGCCCAUACAUGUGUAUUUUGUAAUAGCAUCCAUAAUUUCUUUUUUUCUUCAAUUCAUAAACCCACAUGUAAUUAAUCAUGUAAGUUAAUGUAUUGUUUGAGAUGCAUGCAAAAACUUUAGUUCGGGAAUGGGAUCUUCAUAUUCUUCUCGGC